CGAAGUUUCGAGGAAGCUUGCUUCCAAAGAGACUUAGUGGCGAACGGGUGAGUAACACGUAGGUAACCUGCCCAUGUGUCCGGGAUAACUGCUGGAAACGGUAGCUAAAACCGGAUAGGUAUACAGAGCGCAUGCUCAGUAUAUUAAAGCGCCCAUCAAGGCGUGAACGUGGAUGGACCUGCGGCGCAUUAGCUAGUUGGUGAGGUAACGGCCCACCAAGGCGAUGAUGCGUAGCCGGCCUGAGAGGGUAAACGGUCACAUUGGGACUGAGACACGGCCCAAACUCCUACGGGAGGCAGCAGUAGGGAAUUUUCGUCAAUGGGGGAAACCCUGAACGAGCAAUGCCGCGUGAGUGAAGAAGGUCUUCGGAUCGUAAAGCUCUGUUGUAAGUGAAGAACAGCUCAUAGAGGAAAUGCUAUGGGAGUGACGGUAGCUUACCAGAAAGCCACGGCUAACUACGUGCCAGCAGCCGCGGUAAUACGUAGGUGGCAAGCGUUAUCCGGAAUCAUUGGGCGUAAAGGGUGCGUAGGUGGCGUACUAAGUCUGUAGUAAAAGGCAAUGGCUCAACCAUUGUAAGCUAUGGAAACUGGUAUGCUGGAGUGCAGAAGAGGGCGAUGGAAUUCCAUGUGUAGCGGUAAAAUGCGUAGAUAUAUGGAGGAACACCAGUGGCGAA
rnacentral:rRNA from 1 species